rnacentral:rRNA from 1 species
UACGGCGAGUGAAGCGGCAAAAGCUCAAAUUUGAAACCCUCGGGAUUGUAAUUUGAAGAUUUGGCAUUGGAGAAAGCUAACCCAAGUUGCUUGGAAUAGUACGUCAUAGAGGGUGACAACCCCGUCUGGCUAACCGUUCUCCAUGUAUUGCCUUAUCAAAGAGUCGAGUUGUUUGGGAAUGCAGCUCAAAGUGGGUGGUAAACUCCAUCUAAAGCUAAAUACUGGUGAGAGACCGAUAGCGAACAAGUACUGUGAAGGAAAGGUGAAAAGAACUUUGAAAAGAGAGUGAAAUAGUAUGUGAAAUUGUUGAUAGGGAAGGAAAUGAGUGGAGAGUGGCCGAGGUUUCAGCCGCCCCUCGUGGGCGGUGUACUGCCGACGCCGAGUCAUCGAUAGCGAGACGAGGGUUACAAAUGGGAGCGCCUUCGGGCGUUCUCCCCUAACCCUCCACACUGCCACCGACGACAUAAUCCACCCAUUUCACCCGUCUUGAAACA